rnacentral:rRNA from 1 species
AUUGAACGCUGGCGGCAGGCCUAACACAUGCAAGUCGAGCGAAUGACGGGAGCUUGCUCCUUGAUUCAGCGGCGGACGGGUGAGCAAUGCCUAGAAAUCUGCCUGGUAGUGGGGGACAACGUUUCGAAAGGAACGCUAAUACCGCAUACGUCCUACGGGAGAAAGCAGGGGACCUUCGGGCCUUGCGCUACCAGAUGAGCCUAGGUCGGAUUAGCUAGUUGGUGGUGUAAUGGCUCACCAAGGCGACGAUCCGGAACUGGUCUGAGAGGAUGAUCAGACACACUGGAACUGAGACACCGUCCAGACUCCUACGGGAGGCAGCAGUGGGAAAUAUUGGACAAUGGGCGAAAGCCUGAUCCAGCCAUGCCGCGUGUGUGAAGAAGGUCUUCGGAUUGUAAAGCACUUUAAGUUGGGAGGAAGGGCAGUAAGUUAAUACCUUGCUGUUUUGACGUUACCGACAGAAUAAGCACCGGCUAACUCUGUGCCAGCAGCCGCGGUAA